GACGAACGCUGGCGGCGUGCCUAAUACAUGCAAGUAGAACGCACAGUUUAUACCGUAGCUUGCUACACCAUAGACUGUGAGUUGCGAACGGGUGAGUAACGCGUAGGUAACCUGCCUGGUAGCGGGGGAUAACUAUUGGAAACGAUAGCUAAUACCGCAUAAUAUUGAUUAUUGCAUGAUAAUUAAUUGAAAGGUGCAAUUGCACCACUACCAGAUGGACCUGCGUUGUAUUAGCUAGUAGGUGAGGUAACGGCUCACCUAGGCGACGAUACAUAGCCGACCUGAGAGGGUGAUCGACCACACUGGGACUGAGACACGGCCCAGACUCCUACGGGAGGCAGCAGUAGGGAAUCUUCGGCAAUGGACGAAAGUCUGACCGAGCAACGCCGCGUGAGUGAAGAAGGUUUUCGGAUCGUAAAGCUCUGUUGUAAGAGAAGAACGGGUGUGAGAGUGGAAAGUUCACACUGUGACGGUAUCUUACCAGAAAGGGACGGCUAACUACGUG
rnacentral:rRNA from 1 species